rnacentral:rRNA from 1 species
UACGUAGGGGGCAAGCGUUGUCCGGAUUUAUUGGGCGUAAAGAGCGUGUAGGCGGCUUUACAGGUCCGUUGUGAAAACUCGAGGCUCAACCUCGAGACGCCGGUGGAAACCGUAAGGCUAGAGUCCGGAAGAGGAGAGUGGAAUUCCUGGUGUAGCGGUGAAAUGCGCAGAUAUCAGGAAGAACACCCGUGGCGAAGGCGGCUCUCUGGGACGGUACUGACGCUGAGACGCGAAAAGCGUGGGGAGCGAACAGG